rnacentral:rRNA from 1 species
CGAGUCCUAUCUGCAUCUCUAGCGAAUGGAUUAGCAGCUUGCUCUUAUGAAGUUAGCGGCGGAUGGUGAGUAACACGUGGGUAACCUGCCCAUAAGACUGGCAUAACUCCGGGAAACCGGGGCUAAUACCGGAUAACAUUUUGAACCGCAUGGUUCUAAAUUGAAAGGCGGCUUCGGCUGUCACUUAUGGAUGGACCCGCGUCGCAUUAGCUAGUUGGUGAGGUAACGGCUCACCAAGGCAACGAUGCAUAGCCAACCUGAGAGGGUGAUCGGCCACACUGGGACUGAGACACGGCCCAGACUCCUACGGGAGGCAUCAGUAAGGAAUCUUCCGCAAUGGACCAAAGUCUGACGGAGCAACGCCGCGUGAGUGAUGAAGGCUUUCGGGUCGUAAAACUCUGUUGUUAUUUUAUUUAUUAAGUGCUAGAUGAAUAAGCUGGCACC